GACGAACGCUGGCGGCGUGCUUAACACAUGCAAGUCGAACGGAAAGGCCCUGCUUUUGUGGGGUGCUCGAGUGGCGAACGGGUGAGUAACACAUGAGUAACCUGCCCUUGACUUUGGGAUAACUUCAGGAAACUGGGGCUAAUACCGGAUAGGAGCUCCUGCUGCAUGGUGGGGGUUGGAAAGUUUCGGCGGUUGGGGAUGGACUCGCGGCUUAUCAGCUUGUUGGUGGGGUAGUGGCUUACCAAGGCUUUGACGGGUAGCCGGCCUGAGAGGGUGACCGGCCACAUUGGGACUGAGAUACGGCCCAGACUCCUACGGGAGGCAGCAGUGGGGAAUAUUGCACAAUGGGCGGAAGCCUGAUGCAGCAACGCCGCAUGUGGGAUGACGGCCUUCGGGUUGUAAACCGCUUUCGCCUGUGACGAAGCGUGAGUGACGGUAAUGGGUAAAGAAGCACCGGCUAACUACGUG
rnacentral:rRNA from 1 species